rnacentral:lncRNA from 1 species
UUUUAUUUUUAUAUCCACCUUUAUUUAUGUGUCAGUGAUAUACUGUGAUAUCUUUACUGAACUAGUGUAACUCAUUUCUUAUUUAACUAUUUCAAAUCAAGAUGACCAGGUUCCAGAGUCUGAUCCGCAAGAAGAUUGCGAGUAGAUAUUAGAUAUUUUUUCGUUUUCCGUUUAUUUCCUUAUUUCUUAUAUUUCUUUCAAAU